GCUGGGCGUGGUGGCACAUGCCUGUAGUCCCAGCUACUCUGGAGGCUGAGGCAGGAGAAUCGCUUGAACCUGGGAGGCCGAGGUUGCAGUGAGCCGAGAUUGGCCAUUGCACUCCAGCCUGGGCAACAGAGCGAGACCCUGUCUCAA
ensembl:misc_RNA Metazoa_SRP Metazoan signal recognition particle RNA